UAGGGAAUAUUAGUAAUGGGCGAAAGUCUGAUCUAGCAACACCGCGUGUGCGAAGAAGGCCUUCGGGUUGUAAAGCACUUUUUGGAAGGAUUAGGAAGGAAUGUACUUCCAGAAUAAGUCUCGGCUAACUACGUGCCAGCAGCCGCGGUAACACGUAGGAGGCGAACGUUAUCCGGAUUUACUGGGCGUAAAGCGCGUGUAGGUGGUUCUGUAAGUAGGGCGUGAAAGCUCCUGGCUCAACUGGGAGAGGCCGUUCUAAACUACAGAACUAGAGGAUGGUAGAGGGAGGUGGAAUUCCAGGUGUAGCGGUGGAAUGCGCAGAUAUCUGGAGGAACACCAGUGGCGAAGGCGGCCUCCUGGACCACUCCUGACACUCAGACGCGAAAGCUAGGGUAGCAAACG
rnacentral:rRNA from 1 species